rnacentral:rRNA from 1 species
AGUGAACGCUGGCGGUAGGCCUAACACAUGCAAGUCGAACGGCAGCACAGUAAGAGCUUGCUCUUACGGGUGGCGAGUGGCGGACGGGUGAGGAAUACAUCGGAAUCUACUUUUUCGUGGGGGAUAACGCAGGGAAACUUACGCUAAUACCGCAUACGACAUACGGGUGAAAGCAGGGGAUCUUCGGACCUUGCGCGAUUGAAUGAGCCGAUGUCGGAUUAGCUAGUUGGCGGGGUAAAGGCCCACCAAGGCGACGAUCCGUAGCUGGUCUGAGAGGAUGAUCAGCCACACUGGAACUGAGACACGGUCCAGACUCCUACGGGAGGCAGCAGUGGGGAAUAUUGGACAAUGGGCGCAAGCCUGAUCCAGCCAUACCGCGUGGGUGAAGAAGGCCUUCGGGUUGUAAAGCCCUUUUGUUGGGAAAGAAAAGCAGCAGGUUAAUACCCCGCUGUUCUGACGGUACCCAAAGAAUAAGCACCGGCUAACUUCGUG